CAGCCCAUUGGCCGCCUCACAGGCCUCCCCGCUCUAGGAUUCGACACAGAAGCCGCCCACGUGCCUUUGUUUACCUCGCCGCCCUGUAGACGCCGUUGCUAGGAAACCGCGUGGCACCUUCCGCGCGCGCCGCGAAGAAUUGAGUUCUUGUUCCUGGCGGGCGGAGGCGGGACUUGAUUGGCUCAGGAUUUUGAAACCGCUGGAAAUACUCCUGGACAAAUCAAUGUUGGAAAAUAACUGGGCCGGGGCAAAUAAAUGGCAAUCAUAGCCUUAUUGAAAAAGUAAAAAAGAGCCGUUUGGCAAAUGUGAAUGCCCAUGAACAUGUGGAGAGACCACCUUUUUGGAAACCCCUAGUCAAGAAAAGCAUGACCUUGUUAGAAGUCAACCCUUUGAACAAAUGAUAUUCAUAAGCAUCCAUGCAAUGGCACACAGUGGGAAGACCGUAGUCUUGAAAGGCGGUGAAGAAAUUGUUACUGUUCUGUUCCUAAGGCAAACCUAGUAUGGCAUUUUCUCAGCAACCUUCAUUCAGAGGGUGCCAUGAAUUCUGACUGCAACAGUGCUGCAAAAGCAAGCUCCCAGUUGGUUUCCAUCCAACCCUUCCUUUCUGGGAGUUACAGGGAAGACUGGCCAUAUUCUCCCUUUCCUUGGUGAUCUGGAUUCUUGGAUCUAUUAUUCUAAAAGCAAAGGGGCAAAUGUAAUAGGACAACAAGAGAUGUUCUGCAAUUGCUGGCUGAAAUGAAUGCUUCAAAAAGGCUGUUUCCAAUUUCAGCUAAGCGGCAUUGGCUUCUGGAUGCUUUAAAGAUUACACUGAAUAAAGCCAUUUGUAAUCAUAUUCUCUGUCCAAAGUGCUGCCUGGAAGUCCCAUUACAGUUUUGCUUUAUUGGAAAUGUUACCAAAUUGUCUUAACAUCAAGGGAAUUU